GGUCUUUAAAAAAACUGUCUCUUUCAAAUUAAUCUAUACUAAAUCGUUUUAUUUUAUUUUAAUGUUUCUGCUUAAAAAAAUCUUUCGUUUUCAUGAACUUCCAGCGCGUGUCCAACUAUGACAUCACUGAGUACCGUCGUCUUCCAUAUGAGGGCGCACGAGUAUCAGCGGAAAACGGAACUGCUGGUAAUGGAGCGUGUGUGCCGGGAAUAGAGCACUACGCACACACACAUACACACAAAUACGCAGACACACACGCACGCGCGCGCGCACACACACACACACACACACACACACACACACACACACACACACACACACACACACACACACACACACACAGUACGUCUCUCACUGUGUCUCCUGUUCUGCUGCGCUGCUGCGGGCAGCAUCUGAAACAAGGCCGGAAAGCGAGGCUGUCACUCGGGCAGACCGCGCUCACCGGGCUCGCUCUGUCCUCGUUACGCAAAUUACCGGCGGAGCGGCGCAGCAGUGGGUCCGUUAAUGGAGCGUGCGUGCCCCUGGCCGGCUUCCGCACCCCGCCUCCUCCUCCCAUCUCCCUCCGCCUCGUGAAUAGACUUAAUGGGAUACAGGCGAGGAGGCAUUCACCGGGGAAGCGCUAUUACUCACACGGAAACACGGAGACCCGGACACACGAGCGCACAAACACGUUGACGUACAGCUUGCAUCGCCAUUGAGAAACACGGCUGUUCAUACUUACGCUAAAAAAAUACAAAAUGUUUGAAAUUACAGCACUACUUGUGAAGCUCUCGAGGCAAAGCUUUUAUAGCCUAAAACGUAAAAUCAGUCAGUUUAACCAGAACCGGAACAGCUGUCAUUGAACUUUAAUAGACCCAGUCCAGAGGCGGAUUCAAAGGGUGGGCAGGGGGUGACUGGUGGCCACUCCAAAAUCAAUAAAUCCAUCAAUCCUUGUCAGAAGCAGGGCUUAAAGGGAUAUUCCGGCGUAAAAUUAAUUUAGGGUCAAACACACCUGGGAGAACAUUCAUGAUCAUUUCUUCAUGGAAAUGCAAUCAGACCGAGACGCUAAGGCACAAGAACUACCGCGUUUGCAGUGCAAAAUGAUUAAUAUGGUGAUUGUUACUUCAAGGAAAUGAUGAAGAAAUGAUCACAAAUGUUCUUCCUUGAGCUGUGUCACCCCGAAGCAGUCCGUAAUGGACUGGCCCGAGGUCUCGCUACAAACAAGCAGCUGCUGGAGGAGAGUGGCUAAGUUGUGUUUUGUGUAGUCUCUUUGCUAAAGAAAUUAGGCAAUGUUAAAAAGCUGUUUGGUGGCAAGUGCUGUGGCUGGGACCCUAUAUGUACUGUUGAUGAAGUUAGGUGCUGUUCUGAGCAUUAUUUGUGGCUAUAGAGUGGCGUUUUGGUUGAGGUUUGUUGAUGGCUCCUCAGACCGCUGUGUAUUGCUGUCAUUCGGUCAUUACUAAAGUUGGUGUAACUAGAGAAGGAAGCGGUCGGCAACAUUCAUCUCUCGGGGGGUUGUCUAACUCGGCAUUACGGUGUGUUUGACCCUAAAUUAAUUUUACACCGGAAUAUCCCUUUAUAUUGUGGGUGGCUGGUUGCCACCCACAAAAGAUACCAGGAAGACAGAGUAGCAGCUAACUUAUUGUAACAUCUCUCCAAAAAUGGUCAAACAUUAAUAUAAGUGAUGGUUAAAAAUUUAUUGUGAAUCAAAAAAUGUUUUUAAAGCUUUUACUUUUUACACUUCUUUUGACUGCUUUUUUCCCAUUCCAUAAAUCAAGAUCUACUACCAGCCGUGAAUUUCAUAUCAAAAUAUUUGCAUGUUUUUACAAUAGUACAGUUUUAUUUUUACAAUAAAACACAAGACAAUAAAAAUGUCUAAAACCAAAGCAUUAAAAAAACACUUGUUUUAUGGAGUAGUCUUUUAUUUGAGGAAGUUUCUGUUGCUCAGCUGGUGACAGGGAGGAAAGCUUUUGAAGAUGCAGAAACCGCAGUUUUUGCGCUUCAACGUUACCUCUAUCCAAAAAAUGUACGCACAACACCAUUUCUUUGAGCGUUGAAGUUGUCGUCUUCUGGCUUGCAUAUGACCUGUAAACAAAAAUAAGACUGUAAAUCUGUUACGUAAGUUCCACAUACCGUCUCUAGAUGCCACAUGGCCUGCAUCACUUUUUACAAGGGGGCAUGGGUUCUAUCACUGUGCUAUCUGUAGUGUUGAAAGAUUCUUAAAAAGCAACAGUUUCCUUCAACAGAAAUCUUCAUGAAUACCUCCCCAUUGGCUCUUCACCUUCAACAUUGUGAGCCUGCCUUUUCCUCGCAUCUGUUUGUGAUGUAAGCUGUUUUCACUGUUGUUCUAACUGCUGUUGCUGCCUCGCCUCAGACACCCCUUCCUCACACUUUUCAGCAACAUGCAGUUGUGAUGACAAGUACUAGAGUUCCCACUCAAGCUGCCUGUUCUUGUGGUGUAGCAGCAGCACCGCAAACCUCCCUCCCUCCUCUCUAACUCUCUCUCUCCUUGAAGCCUUGCGGGAUGAUGAUGACACCCGCCGUAAUCGCUGGAUGCUCAGCUUCUGACAUGACACACAAUCAGGAAACCCUUUCACGGGCUGAUCCAGGUUUCAUUGUUGCAUUCAGGUGUGGCACGUCCUCUGACAGGUGGAAAAGGCCGCUUGCAGGAGAGUGGAGGGAGACAGCGAGGUGGGGCUCUGACUGACAGCCCUGUUUAAGACACAAAACCAGCUCCUGUUCCUAUAUCUGAUCUCCUCUCUGCUGUGAUGAACACUCUGCUUACCUACUUUCUUUACACUAACUGGAUUGUGUUUGCGUAGGUUUGCUUCCAGGGCAGACUUUGGGAUUGAGAGGAUGUGAAUAGAGCAGGACGGAGGCCAGGCUUUAGCGGAAAUCACAUAAUUACAUUAACUUAACUAUGUUUAAAUACUGCUCCCAGCUCCUUAGCUUAUACAGCACCUUUUUCUUAUACAGCAGCAGAUUCCUGAGCAAAAUAAUGCAAUUUUGCUGCAUAUUUGAUAGCUAUGGUGUAAAAGUAAGGCUGAAGAUACAAAACGUACAUAUGUAGAAGAUAGAAAGUUAGAGAUUACAGUACAAUACCUAAAACAGUGUGGGCCAGUAAUCAGAAUUGUCUGCUAUUUGAGUCUGGGUAUUAUUCAGCUUUGUUUCAAAUUACUUAAUUCGUCACAAACAAAUUUAAGACUUAAAACUGUUGAAUGGGUUUUACUUGUUAUGCCCUAUUUUCAUAUUGAGUUCGAAUCAAGAGGCUAAAUUGAGUUCUCUCCCUACUUAAACUAUAAUUUCGAUUCUCCAAAAAUUGGGAUUUUAUGUCAGAUGUUGUUUAAACAGAAUUUGAUGGUUUGCAAAUAAUUUUAACCCUGUGUUCACUUGAAAAUACUUCGAAAACACAUUAUUAAUGUUUACGUUUAAUGAAGACCUUUCGCUCAUUUUGAAAAUGAUGAAAGAAACAUCUUAAGGGCUGGGACGUCAGGCAUGUUUACGUCACACUUUUUUGUUAAUAUGGUGACAUGAUGCAACAAAGUUUUUCAGAGGGGUCAAGUCGGGACUACAGGCAGGCGAGUUAAGCAACCAUUCUCUUCUACUGCAGAGUCAUCCUGUUGUAACACAUGCAAAAUGUGGUUUGGCAUUUCCCCUCUGAAAUAAUCAAGGUCUUCCCAGAAAAGGCAUCAGCAGCAUAGGUUGCUCAGGGGGCAGUCCGAUCUGCAUAAAUUGGAACAGACCAAUGUCAGGAAAAGUCACGUCCCUGACAGUAUCAGUGGCCGAUUACUCAAAAACUGUGUCCCAUUUCUGUGUGGUAUUUAUACAUUCAUCUUCCAGCCUCCUUGUCACAGCAAAAAGUCCCUGAAUCCACUGUGACACAGAUUACCCAAAUCAAAAUCCCCAGUGUGCUAAAUGAUUACCACCCUGUGACAUUCCCAUCUUUGGUCAUGAAAGCUUUGAAAACAUUGUGAAAAGGAGCGUAUUAAACAUGUCCAAAAAUAUAACUGAUCCCUUUAAGUUAUCAGGUAAAGAAAGGUUUGAUAAUGCUACUUAAAGAUUGCUAAAUCUAGUUGUUGGGCAUCUAGAGGGGUUUAAAACUCAUGCAUGUUUGUGUUUUGAUGAUUUUACACCUGCUUUUACUUGCAUGCAGUCCAAUAUUCUCACUAAGAGGCUUAAAGAAAUACCUGGUUUUGACUUUGCCAGAAUCUGUUGGUUGGUGGACUUUUUUAACAAUGAGGCUACAAAGGACCCGUGUUAAUGGAACAUGUUCAAAGCCACUAAUGUGCUCUACAGACUCACCUCAGACCUGUGUCUUGUCACCAUUAUUGUUUGUAGUCUAUACUAAUAAACGUACGAGUUGCUUUGAGUUGAGGUUUAUCAUCCACUUUGCAGAUGAUUUAGUCAUUGUCAGCCUUUUGCAGGACCAUGAGGUUAGCUAUGAUCCAGAUCUGAACAGUUUUGUUAAAUGGUGCCAGGAAUCCUACUCGUAUCUUAACAUGUGUAAGAUGAUGGUAUUGCUGUGGAGACAUAAGCUGACCUUUGACACCAACACAGAUGCAAUUUGCACAAAGGCCAAUCCGAGACUUUUUCUUAAGAAAGCUGAGAGGAUUCAAUGUUGACAAAUCUCUUUUAAGUAUAUUUUAUUGAGUCCAUUUUAACUUUUGCAAGGAUCUGUUGGUUUGGUGAUCUCAGUGUGGUUAACAAAAACAGGCUGGGAAACAUCAUGAAACCUUGCAGAAUACAUUUCCAGAGCCAACUUGAAUGAUCUUAGUCGUGUUUUUCAUGUGAAGGCCACUCAGAAGGCAAAGGCCAUCUUGAGAGACCCUCAGCUUACUCCUUUUGACAAAGUUUCCUCCAGAUGCUUGAAAGAUUCUAACAACAUGAACUGAGGGUGACUAGAUGCCUGUGAUUUUUUGAAAGUAACAUUUUUCUGUAAUUGUUGACUUAUUUAGUCACACAGUGUCUCACAAAUGAGUAGAAACUCUGCCUCUCUGGGUUACCCUUUUAGUCAUAUUACCAACUUUGCAAAGUAAUGUUGUUAGUUUGGAGACGUUUGUCUGUGUUCUUCUUGUAGCAUUGCACAACCUCUUAAGAGUUUUGAAACAUACUGCUUGCAACAAAUUUAAAAUUGAGAUUAAAUUUUCAUGAACAAUGGUAAUUUUUCAGUUUUAGCAUUUAAUAUGUGAAAUUACCAUUAUUUGAAAAUAAAUUUGUUUUUUAAUCAUUAAAAAUCUGUUUUAACCAACUUUGUACAGUCUUCAUUUUUUGCAUUAAGGUUUUGGGACUGAGUCAGACUGGUAGUUCUGCUUCGCCGAGUAUGUUGAUUUGGUAUCAGUUUCUUCCCCUCUACAUUUUAGAGGGUAAAGUUGUACUUUUCAUUGCUCUCAUUGUAAGUAAUGGAUGCUAUGUGGUAGUCUAGUUACUAUUACACAUAUUUGGCGUUGUGAAAUGUAAAAAUCCAAUAUCAUUACUCUUUAAAAUUUUAACCUGCUCACUCCCUACCUCCAGCUCUCCAAAAGAUAAUUUUUAGAUUUUGCUAAUAACGCUGUCAUGGUUCUGAUUGCAUUAUGGGAAAAGAGAGGAACAGGAUGACCCAGUGAUGGGAAAUCAGACUGUUGUGUCCACAUCCCAUUAGACCUGUCUCUGUCGCAAUCAAGCUCAACAGGCAUACCAAGUUUUGGUGGGGGGGGACACUCUGUGGUUUGCGCUGACAUACUUUCUGGUUACAUAAGUGUGUAGCAUAGAUGGUGUCAAAGUAUAGGGUGUAGCCUUGGGGCCUGAAAGGGAAGCCGGCGACUGAUGAUAGAUGGUGUACUGCUGAAACAACCACAACAAAAACUGGGGCUGAGCAUAACAAAAGACACUCUGAGAAGUUGGUUGUCUUUUAAAGAGCGACAUUUUGGGAAACCUGUUUCUCUUUCAGCAAAAUUUGCCUCUUAAAUGAUAUCACUGUUUUUGUAGCGUACUGCAAAACAAUUUAGCACUAGCAUUAGCUUUUAACUGACUAUUUUCACACCUAUUACUUACCUCUUUGUUUAAAUAGGGUUUCUCCUGGCUGACACAGAUAAGCCAAUGUCAAGUUGAUAGUAUUAUGUUAUAUUUCACCUAGUUUUGGUCUAGAUACUUUGUUAUAUUGACAACGACUGACCUUGAUUCUUUGACUGAUACCAGGAGGAGACGGAAGUAGUACAGGGCCGACAGAAAGACUCAUCCAGCAGGUUUUGCCGCCUUUGUUCACAUUCCCCCCAUUCUUGCUGAGCAACAAUUCUGUCAUGACAAUUCAUUGGCUGACUUGAAGAACAGACUGUGCCCAUGCAUAGAUAUCCCUUUAUGGACAUAGAGAAUCAAUUGGUUCAUCUACCACUCCCUACCUCUUUAAUAUCAUUCCAAUGAGCCUAACCUUUUAUGCCAGGGGAACUUUUUAAAUCUCACUGAGAGUGAAUCCGUCAGAUGUGUUUGGAUUAAACAUAGACAGGUGCUUUUCCUUUUUGUUUUUGGCAACACAGUGGGAAAACAUGUUUGUCGGAGUCACCCGAAAUGUUUACCGAAGAUCAGAUUACAAACUGCUUCCAACAGUGACAAACAGUGCUGAGUUAAGUUCUGGUGGGGGGCUAUUUUUGUAGCUUGGGGGCAUGUGCAUGAGUCCCCCGUUUACAAGUCCCUCCAACAGUGACAAACAGGGCAGUAUUAAGUUUUGAUAUGAGGCUAUUUUUGUCGCAAGGGUGCAUGUGCACGAGAUCCCCUAUUUAUGAUUGCUUACAGUAAGGAGAGUCAUGAGGGCAUGAGCUGUCCACGAUGAUGACUGCUGGACACUGGCUGGUGCAACAGUCUGUUUUUAGGGGUAACCUGGAAAACAACCAGGCCUGUGGUGGUGAGCUUGGUCUUUUUAGUUUGUGUGUCAUUUGUGUGAGUUUUGAUUCAGCGAUUACAAGUCUAUAUACUGUUGGGGAAGCUCUUUGAUGCAGCACCAGUUCUCACGUAGGCCUACUCCCUUUAUAAAACUGAGGACAAAAGUCAAAUUGAUCACAGCCAUUGUGCUGUAAAUCUCUACUACCUGAAUGUACACAAGCACAGAGGACAGAUGAUGUCUCAUCACAUCACAUGCAUCAAGUUCCAGGACCUAACUUCUUGUUCUUAACAUCUUGAGUGAAAGAUGUUUUGCAGAUUGAAACUUUGCAAUCACCUCUUGAAACUGAGGACAAAAAGUCAAAUUGAUCACAGCCAUUGUGCUGUAAAUCUCUACUACCUCUAUGUACCCAAGCACAGAGGACAGAUGAUGUCUCAUCACAUCACAUGCAACAAGUUCCAGGACCCAACUUCUUGUCCUUAACAUCUUGAGCAGAUAGAAAAUUUGCAAUCACCUCUUGAAACUGCUCUGGUGGAUUUGCUGCAGAUCUGUGUGGUCUCUUCAUGCAUUUGCAGAAAAGCUGAGAAGCAAGUCCAUUUUAAGAUUUGAAGACCAACUUCAAAUAAAACCAAUCAGUGCAGUUACUAAAAUAAAACUUCAGCACCUCCAGACCCUACAGAUUUAACCUCUGACUUUUUAAAGAGGCCAGGCACUCUUAAUCUGAAACCAC